AUUGAACGCUGGCGGCAGGCUUAACACAUGCAAGUCGAGCGGGGUGAUGGUGCUUGCACUAUCACUUAGCGGCGGACGGGUGAGUAAUGCUUAGGAAUCUGCCUAUUAGUGGGGGACAACAUCUCGAAAGGGAUGCUAAUACCGCAUACGUCCUACGGGAGAAAGCAGGGGAUCACUUGUGACCUUGCGCUAAUAGAUGAGCCUAAGUCGGAUUAGCUAGUUGGUGGGGUAAAGGCCUACCAAGGCGACGAUCUGUAGCGGGUCUGAGAGGAUGGUCGGCCACACUGGGACUGAGACACGGCCCAGACUCCUACGGGAGGCAGCAGUGGGGAAUAUUGGACAAUGGGGGGAACCCUGAUCCAGCCAUGCCGCGUGUGUGAAGAAGGCCUUAUGGUUGUAAAGCACUUUAAGCGAGGAGGAGGCUCUUUUGGUUAAUACCCAAGAUGAGUGGACGUUACUCGCAGAAUAAGCACCGGCUAACUCUGUGCCAGCCGCCGCCGUAA
rnacentral:rRNA from 1 species